UACGUAGGGUGCGAGCGUUACUCGGAAUUACUGGGCGUAAAGCGUGCGCAGGCGGUUUUGUAAGCCAGAUGUGAAAUCCCCGGGCUUAGCCUGGGAAUGGCAUUUGGGACUGCAAGGCUUGAGUGCGGCAGAGGAGACUGGAAUUCCUGGUGUAGCAGUGAAAUGCGUAGAUAUCAGGAGGAACACCGAUGGCGAAGGCAGGUCUCUGGGCUGACACUGACGCUCAUGCACGAAAGCGUGGGGAGCAAACAGG
rnacentral:rRNA from 1 species